GGGGCUGCUUGUUGUGACCUUGGACUCUCGGCCGCCUGUUUGGGUAGUGAGAUGUCAUGAGGAAGUGGGAUCUGCACAGUCAGUUCCUGUUGAAAGCUGGGCAAAGUAACAGCGGCCUUUGAUGCAUGAGUCUGAAACCUUCCUGGCCGAGUCUAAAAGGACCCAUGAGCUGAAUGUAACCUGUGUCGUCAAUUGGGUGACACUAACCCCCAGGCCAGCUCAUGGGUCCCCUAAAAGCCUCCAGCCUGCUCAGCUUUGGACCAGAUAAGGAUGUGAUGGGCACCAGAAGCAAACCUAUGAGGCAGGGCCCACCUGCCAGUCAGCUGCGGUUGGUAAUGGGCUGGGAGGCCUGCCUUGUGGAGUUUCAGAGAGAAGCAAAGACUCUCCUAAGGGCUGUUUAUGUGACCAGCUAUUUCUGAUUGUGAUUGUGCCCUGGUUCUUCCCACUUGGAAUGAGAAGAGACUGCCAGGUCACCUGCUGUCUGAGACACUUCUGUGCUUCUGGAUUUUGACAGACAUUGUCAAUCCACUCUCCACUCAUCACUCAGUUCCAAGUGGCUCACAGACAGAGAGGAGGCACCAGCUAAUGAAGACAAAUCCACAGAUCAAUAGAAAUGUGGUUGCCGGUGUGGAAACCCUGUGGUCCCUGACCUCGAAUGAAGCGCUCUGGAUAGGAGGAGGAUGGAUGAUGUACUGUUUUGAAAACAGUCUCAUUGGGGCUGGUAAGAGGGCUCAGCGGAUUAAAGAUCUGGGGUCACAGACAGGGUUUCUCUGUGCAGCCCUGGCUGUCGUGGAAUUUGCUCUGUAGACCAUGCUGACCUCGAACUCAGAGGAAAGAACAGCUCACAUGACGUGAAGACGGCCGGCCAUCUCCCAAAGCCUCUCAAAGCUGCCGCCGGGCCUGUGAUCUCGAGGCUCCCUCUUCUGAGACAAGCCCCCGGCAGGUGACCGCUCACCCCUCUGGCUGAAUGAAGUGUGACCAGCGCAGGGCAGAAGAAACCAGACCCCAAGGGGAAGGGCCUGCCCUGGAGCCCAGCUCUGCUCCCGUAGCCUUGGCCUCAGGCUUGUGGCUAUAAGAUGACCUGUUGAAUCUCUACUUUGAGAACAUCCUGCAGCUUCUGUGAGAUGAGGGACUUUGAAAACCAGAGACACAAAGGCACCCACGAGACAGCGCACAGCCCUCUACAGCUUCAUCUGCCAUCGUAGCAGGACACACUCACCUCUGGACAGUCCCCCCAGACACCAAGUCACCCUGCAUAUUAGGACCUAGAGACCUAGGCUCUCCCACUCCAGAGAAACAAAGCAUGCAAGGGAAGAGGUGCCUCAGGCCUGCUUGAGAAAGACGACCAGAAUACCCCUAAGGGCUGGGGAUGGCUCCCUGCGGAGAUACUUGCCUACUCUAUACAAGGCCCUGGGUUCCCUCCUCAGCACCAAAAGCAAGAAAAAGACAAAAGCUUGGGCCACAGAGAUGGCUCAGUGGUUAAGAGCACUGGAUGUUCUUCCUGGGUUCAAUUCCCA